rnacentral:tRNA from 1 species
GAAGGUUUGCCCGAGUUAAGGGUGAAGACUUAAGAUCUUCUGCUCUCACGUACGCGUCGGUUCGAACCCCUUAGCCUGCA